rnacentral:rRNA from 1 species
CGCCAGACUCCUACGGGAGGCAGCAGUAAGGGAUAUUGGUCAAUGGGGGAAACCCUGAACCAGCAACGCCGCGUGAGGGAAGACGGUUUUCGGAUUGUAAACCUCUGUCCUCUGUGAAGAUGAUGACGGUAGCAGAGGAGGAAGCUCCGGCUAACUACGUGCCAGCAGCCGCGGUAAUACGUAGGGAGCGAGCGUUGUCCGGAUUUACUGGGUGUAAAGGGUGCGUAGGCGGCUUGGCAAGUCAGUAGUGAAAUCCAUGGGCUUAACCCAUGAGCUGCUAUUGAAACUGUCGAGCUUGAGUGAAGUAGAGGUAGGCGGAAUUCCCGGUGUAGCGGUGAAAUGCGUAGAUAUCUGGAGGAACAUCAGUGGCGAAGGCGACUAUCUGGCACAUAACUGACGCUGAGGAGCGAAAGCGUGGGUAGCAAACAGGAUUAGAUACCCCAGUA